ensembl:snRNA U6 U6 spliceosomal RNA
GCACCUCCCUGUGCUUGCUUGCAUAUAGGAAAUUAGGAUGGUACAGAGAAGAUUAGCAGGCCCCCUGCCCAGGGGUGACACACACAUUUGCAAAGAGGUCCCAUAUUUA